rnacentral:rRNA from 1 species
CCUACGGGGGGCAGCAGUGAGGAAUAUUGGUCAAUGGACGAGAGUCUGAACCAGCCAAGUAGCGUGAAGGAUGACUGCCCUAUGGGUUGUAAACUUCUUUUAUAUGGGAAUAAAAUGUUCCACGUGUGGGAUUUUGUAUGUACCAUAUGAAUAAGGAUCGGCUAACUCCGGGCCAGCAGCCGCGGUAAUACGGAGGAUUCGAGCGUUAUCCGGAUUUAUUGGGUUUAAAGGGAGCGUAGGUGGAUUGUUAAGUCAGUUGUGAAAGUUUGCGGCUCAACCGUAAAAUUGCAGUUGAAACUGGCAGUCUUGAGUACAGUAGAGGUGGGCGGAAUUCGUGGUGUAGCGGUGAAAUGCUUAGAUAUCACGAAGAACUCCGAUUGCGAAGGCAGUUCACUGGACUGCAACUGACACUGAGGCUCGAAAGUGUGGGUAUCAAACAGGAUUAGAUACCCUAGUAGUC